rnacentral:rRNA from 1 species
UACGUAGGGUGCAAGCGUUGUCCGGAAUUAUUGGGCGUAAAGAGCUCGUAGGCGGUCAGUCGCGUCUGCUGUGAAAACUCGGGGCUUAACUCCGGGCCUGCAGUGGGUACGGGCUGACUAGAGUGCGGUAGGGGAGACUGGAAUUCCUGGUGUAGCGGUGAAAUGCGCAGAUAUCAGGAGGAACACCGGUGGCGAAGGCGGCUUGCUGGGCCACUACUGACGCUGAGAAGCGAAAGCAUGGGGAGCGAACAGG